CUCCUCUUUUCUUUCUUCUUCUUCUUUCUUCCUCCUCAUCCUCAUCUUUGUCCUUCUUCUUUUCCUCCUCCUUUCUUUCUUCUUCUUCUUUCUUCCUCCUCAUCCUCAUCUUUGUCCUUCUCCUUUUCCUCCCCCUUUCUUUCUUCUUCUUUCUUCCUCCUCAUCCUAAUCUUUGUCCUUCUCCUUUUCCUCCUCCUCUCCUUCCUUCCUGUUUUCCAAUUAAUUAGCCAGACCAGUGGUUUUACUAAAUAGCUUUUGGCUUUAUUUAUUAAUUCCACAGAUAUUAUUUACUGAUUUUAAAAUUUCUGCAGGUAUAAUUUUUAAAAUUUAUUUCUUUGGCAUUCAAUUGUUUCAUUGUAUAGGUUUUCUAAUUUAUUUUAGAGCUUAAUUAAUUUUUAUUUUAUUGAUUAGUGGAAUAAAUGGUUAAGGGUUUGUAUUUCUUUCUGACACAGACAGCAACAUCCAUAAGUUUUGCUUCUAAUAAUGAUUGAUACAAAUUAAAAUUUUUCAUUUUAUUUUUAUUUGAUCUAUAUGGAAAAGACUUUUUGGUUGUCAUUUAAAUUUUUUUAGUAGUGUGUGUGUGUGUGUGCGUAUUUAUAUGAUGCUAUGGAUAAAAAUAAAACAGAGAUAAGGAAGGCGAGGCGGGCGGAUCACGAGGUCAGGAGUUCGAGACCAGCCUGGCCAACAUAGUGAAAACCUGUCUCUACUAAAAAUACAAAAAA
rnacentral:lncRNA from 10 species